rnacentral:rRNA from 1 species
AUUGAACGCUGGCGGCAUGCCUUACACAUGCAAGUCGAACGGUAACGCGGGGCAACCUGGCGACGAGUGGCGAACGGGUGAGUAACGCAUCGGAACGUGCCCAGUAGUGGGGGAUAGCCCGGCGAAAGCCGGAUUAAUACCGCAUACGACCUACGGGUGAAAGCGGGGGAUCGCAAGACCUCGCGCUAUUGGAGCGGCCGAUGUCAGAUUAGGUAGUUGGUGGGGUAAAAGCCUACCAAGCCGACGAUCUGUAGCUGGUCUGAGAGGACGACCAGCCACACGGGGACUGAGACACGGGCCAGACUCCUACGGGAGGCAGCAGUGGGGAAUUUUGGACAAUGGGCGCAAGCCUGAUCCAGCCAUGCCGCGUGCGGGAAGAAGGCCUUCGGGUUGUAAACCGCUUUUGUCAGGGAAGAAACGCUCUGGGCUAAUACCCCGGGGUAAUGACGGUACCUGAAGAAUAAGCACCGGCUAACUACGUGCCAGCCGCCGCCGUAAUAC